GACGAACGCUGGCGGCGUGCUUAACACAUGCAAGUCGAACGAUGAAACCUAGCCUGCUAGGUCGAUUAGUGGCGAACGGGUGAGUAACACGUGACUAACCUGCCCCUUUCUCUGGGAUAACGCUCCGAAAGGAGUGCUAAUACCGGAUACUCACAUCGAGGCACAUGCCUUGAUGUGGAAAGUUUUUCGGAAAGGGAUGGAGUCGCGGCCUAUCAGCUUGUUGGUGAGGUAACGGCUCACCAAGGCGACGACGGGUAGCCGGCCUGAGAGGGCGACCGGCCACACUGGGACUGAGACACGGCCCAGACUCCUACGGGAGGCAGCAGUGGGGAAUAUUGCACAAUGGGCGCAAGCCUGAUGCAGCGACGCCGCGUGAGGGAUGAAGGUCUUCGGAUUGUAAACCUCUUUCAGUAGGGACGAAGCGAAAGUGACGGUACCUAAAGAGGAAGCACCGGCUAACUACGUGCCAGCCGCCGCCGUAAGAC
rnacentral:rRNA from 1 species